rnacentral:rRNA from 1 species
AACGAACGCUGGCGGCGUGCCUAACACAUGCAAGUCGAACGGAGAUACGAUUUCGGUUGUAUCUUAGUGGCGAACGGGUGAGUAACGCGUGAGCAACCUGACCUUCAGAGGGGGAUAACACUUGGAAACAGGUGCUAAUACCGCAUAAGACCACGACCCGACAUCGGGAUGAGGUCAAAGGAGUAAUCCGCUGAGGGAGGGGCUCGCGUCCCAUUAGAUAGAUGGCGGGGUAACGGCCCACCAUGUCGACGAUGGGUAGCCGAGCUGAGAGGCUGAUCGGCCACACUGGAACUGAGACACGGUCCAGACUCCUACGGGAGGCAGCAGUGGGGAAUAUUGGGCAAUGGGCGCAAGCCUGACCCAGCAACGCCGCGUGAGGGAAGAAGGCCUUCGGGUUGUAAACCUCUGUCCUUGGUGACGAAACAAAUGACGGUAGCCAAGGAGGAAGCCCCGGCUAACUACGUGCCAGCAGCCGCAGUAAUAC